GCUGGCAGCGCCGCUGGCAGGGAGCUGUGCCGCUGGGGCCCUGACAGGCUCUGUGUUCCCAGAGAUGGUCGAGGUGCCAAUGAGGGGUCAGCAGGAAGAGCUCUAGGCCUUCAGUAAGGCCUUUUAAGCCCUGAGGAGGAAUGACAGCCCUUCCCAGACAAACAUAGUAGUUCAACUGAUAUUCAGUGAAAGAGCUGCAGAAGUACACUCAUCUGCUGGCUCAGAAGAAACAGUGUUCAUUGAAGACCUCCAGAUGCCAUGGAAGAUGAGAACACCUUGACACCAGAAGAGACCAGCUGGAGCUCCAGGCACAGCUAAUGAUUGGCACAGCUGAGCCUGUGGGAAGCUCAUGUGGCUUCAGGCCUCUCCCUGCCUGUAGAUAGUUCCCUCCCUGCAGCCCUCAGACACUGCCCACUCCUUCUUUUUCCCUUCCACUCUCCCUCCCUUUUGACAGCUCCAUCCCCCCAGCCCUCAGAUUGUGCCACCCCCUUUUUUGCCUCUCAGCUCAUCCCUUUGCUUUGCCUUCCAGCAAUAAACAGUUUGGCUUUUUCACUUAA